GUCCAGUUAUAACAUAUCUCUUACUUGGAAAAAUUAUUUUCCAAGGCAAACAAACAAAAAGCUACCCGGGUUCAAUCAUGAUCUAUCUCUUACUUGGAAAAAUUUUCCAAGGCAAAAAGCAAAAGCUACCCCGGUUCAAUUUUGAGAACCCGAGUACCCCGGUUCAAUCAUGAGCUAUCUUACUUGGAAAAAAUUUUCUAAGGCAAACAAACAAAAAGCUACCCCGGUCCAGUUAUGACCUAUCUCUUACUUAGAAAAAUUUUUCGAAAAAUUUUUGAAGGCAAAAAAGCAAAAGCUACCCCGGUCCAGUUAUGACCUAUCUCUUACUUAGAAAAAUUUUUCGAAAAUUUUUUUAAGGCAAACAAACAAAAAGCUACCCCGGUCCAGUUAUGACAUAUCUCUUACUUGGAAUUUUUUUUUUCCAAGGCAAACAAACAAAAAGCUACCCCGGUCCAGUUAUGACAUAUCUCUUACUUGGAAUUUUUUUUUUCCAAGGCAAACAAACAAAAAGCUACCCCGGUCCAGUUAUGACAUAUCUCUUACUUGGAAUUUUUUUUUUCCAAGGCAAACAAACAAAAAGCUACCCGGGUUCAAUCAUGAUCUAUCUCUUACUUGGAAAAAUUUUCCAAGGCAAAAAACAAAAGCUACCCCGGUUCAAUUUUGAGAACCCGAGUACCCCGGUUCAAUCAUGAGCUAUCUUACUUGGAAAAAAUUUUUUCCAAGGCAAACAAACAAAAAGCUACCCGGGUUCAAUCAUGCUCUAUCUCUUACUUGGAAAAAUUAUUUUCCAAGGCAAACAAACAAAAAGCUACCCGGGUUUAAUCAUGACCUAUCUCUUACUUAGAAAAAAUUUUCGAAAAAUUUUUGAAGGCAAAAAAGCAAAAGCUACCCCGGUCCAGUUAUGACCUAUCUCUUACUUAUAAAAAUUUUUCGAAAAUUUUUCUAAGGCAAACAAACAAAAAGCUACCCCAGUCCAGUUAUGACAUAUCUCUUACUUGGAAAAAUUAUUUUCCAAGGCAAACAAACAAAAAGCUACCCGGGUUCAAUCAUGAUCUAUCUCUUACUUGGAAAAAUUUUCCAAGGCAAAAAGCAAAAGCUACCCCGGUUCAAUUUUGAGAACCCGAGUACCCCGGUUCAAUCAUGAGUUAUCUUACUUGGAAAAAUUUUUCUAAGGCAAACAAACAAAAAGCUACCCCGGUCCAGUUAUGACCUAUCUCUUACUUGGAAAAAAUUUCCAAGGCAAAAAACAAAAGCUACCCCGGUUCAAUUUUGAGAACCCGAGUACCCCGGUUCAAUCAUGAGUUAUCUUACUUGGAAAAAUUUUUCUAAGGCAAACAAACAAAAAGCUACCCCGGUCCAAUUAUGACCUAUCUCUUACUUAGAAAAAUUUUCUAAGGUAAAAAAGCAAAAGCUACCCCGGUUCAAUUUUGAGUACCCCGGUUCAAUCAUGAGCUAUCUUACUUGGAAAAAUUUUUCUAAGGCAAAAAAAAUAAAAAAA
rnacentral:lncRNA from 1 species